UGAAACAUGGAUAAUAGAUUCAGGCUAUUCGGAUCACAUGACUGGUUCUAAGAAGGCAGGGGUACGUAUAGCUGAUGGUAGCCUCUCAGCAGUUGAAGGAAUAGGCAGAGUUCGGAUUAACCACGACAUAGAGUUAUUUCCAGUACUCUAUGUUCCAAAGUUAAACUGUAACCUAAUCUCUAUAAAUCAGAUUACUAGAGACCUAAAGUGUGAAGCUCUAUUCAGUGCUAAUCGUUGUUCCCUGCAGGAAGAAGGCUCCGGGAGGACGAUUGGAACUGCUAGCCUUCAUGACGACCUCUUUAUCAUGAGUGGAGCCAGGAGGGAGGACGCGGAUGAAGGACAAAGACACACUUAAGCUACUAGCAUUCUAAAUAGAGAUGAGAGCCACAUUAUGUUAUGGCAUAGUCGGUUAGGACAUCCUAGUUUCAGAUAUUUACAGAAGUUGUUACCUAAGCUAUUUAUUAAUAAAAACCCCAAUGAUUGGCAAAGCACACCCGCAACAGUUACCCUGGUCUUCGGUACAAGCCAACACAGCCAUUUGCGAUUAUCCACAGUGAUGUUUGGGCAUCAACGAGGGUGAAAAACAUCAACGGGGCCAGAUGGUUCAUCACAUUUAUAGAUGAUAACACUAGGCUCACUUGGACCUUCCUCAUGAAAGCGAAAUCUGAGACAACAAUAGUGUUUCAGGGGUUCUAAGAUAUGAUUUUCACUCAGUUUGGCACAAAGAUACAAGUCCUAAAAACUGACAAUGCCAAUAACUAUUUUAACUCAGAAUUAGGCAUCUAUCUCUCUCAACGAGGAAUCAUACACUGCAGUUCCUGUGUUGAUACCCCACAGCAAAACGGUAUUGCAGAACGCAAGAACCGACACCUCCUUGAGACUGCUAGAGCACUAAUGUUCACCAAACAUGUGCCGAAACAUUUAUGGGGAGAGGCUGUUCUAACAAUCACGUACCUAAUCAAUCGCAUGCCCAGUAGGGUCUUGGACUUCAAGAUUCCUAGACAUGUUCUUCUCGCAGAUUUUCCCCAUCUUGCCUGUUCUAACAGCCACUUACCUAAUCAACAGACUAUCAUGUCGAAUCCUAAACUAUCAGACCCCCAAAGAUGUUCUAGUGCAAACAUAUCUGCAUGUGCAGGCCUACAUGUCAGCCAUGGACCCGAAGGUAUUCGGGUGCCUCGCUUUUGUCCACAUUCAGCAGCACCAACGGACCAAACUUGAUCCGCGUGCACAGAAAUGUGUGUUUAUCGGCUAUGCACCUCGCCAACAAGGCUACAAAUGUUAUUCACCAGCUACUAGUAAAAUAUUCACUACUAUAGAUGUAACGUUUUUUUGAGAACUCCGGGUAUUAUAGCAAUCCAGAGCUUCAGGGAGAGAGAGAGGACCCUAUAGUAGUAGGAGCAGAAACUCUGGAUAUGCUCAUUUCCAUGGAUGCACCAGUAAUGCCACAAGUCGUGGUAGCCUCACCAAGUUCCCUAUCAGAACAUGAGGAAAGACGAUAACCAGACAUUCAGCAUGUGUACCAAAGAAGGAGAAGAGCAGAUCCAGAAGGUUCCAGGGAGACUACAACUGCAGAAAGUCUAGUUGAUGUGGAAGAUGUGGUUGAACCAGAACCAGCUCCACAAUCAGAAAAUGGAGAAAUUGUAGUUGAAGAACUGCAUCAGCCCGAAAACUAUGACCUAUACUUGCCAAUAGCAAUGAGGAAAGGCGUCCGGGAAUGCACUCGUCACCCUAUUCAAAGGUAUGUCAAUUAUGGUCGUCUUAGUCCAGAAUUCCGAGCCUUUACAAGUCACCUGGAUACUAAGCCAAGAACCAUUGAGGAGGCAAUGAAAAUACCAGAAUGGAGACAGGUUGUUCUUGCUGAAAUUGCAGCACUGGAAAGGAAUGGUACAUGGCGAAUAGUCACUUUACCACACGGGAAACACACCAUGGACUGUAAGUGGAUAUUCACCAUCAAACACAAGGCAUAUGGCAGUGUAGAAAGGUACAAGUCACGACUUGUAGCUCGUGGCUUUAUUCAAUCCUACAGAAUUGAUUAUCAGGAAACGUUUGCCCCUGUGGCAAAACUAAACACAGUGAGUAUCCUACUUUCCAUUGCC
rnacentral:lncRNA from 1 species